UGAUCCGGAUUUAUUGGGCGUAAAGGGCUCGUAGGCGGCUCGUCGCGUCCGGUGUGAAAGUCCAUCGCUUAACGGUGGAUCUGCGCCGGGUACGGGCGGGCUGGAGUGCGGUAGGGGAGACUGGAAUUCCCGGUGUAACGGUGGAAUGUGUAGAUAUCGGGAAGAACACCGAUGGCGAAGGCAGGUCUCUGGGCCGUCACUGACGCUGAGGAGCGAAAGCGUGGGGAGCGAACAGGAUUAGAUACCCUGGUAGUCCACGCCGUAAACGGUGGACGCUGGAUGUGGGGCACGUUCCACGUGUUCCGUGUCGGAGCUAACGCGUUAAGCGUCCCGCCUGGGGAGUACGGCCGCAAGGCUAAAACUCAAAGAAAUUGACGGGGGCCCGCACAAGCGGCGGAACAUGCGGAUUAAUUCGAUGCCACGCCAAGAACCUUACCUGGGCUUGACAUGUUCCCCACGACGCCAGAGAUUGCGUUUCCCUUCGGGGCGG
rnacentral:rRNA from 1 species